rnacentral:rRNA from 1 species
UUGGAGGGCAAGUCUGGUGCCAGCAGCCGCGGUAAUUCCAGCUCCAAUAGCGUAUAUUAAAGUUGUUGCAGUUAAAAAGCUCGUAGCUGAAUUUCGGGAUCAGUACGCUGGUCAUGCCUUUGGUAUGCACUGGUGUCACUGGUUUCUCCCUUCUGAAGAUCCGUGAUGUCAUUAAUUUGGUGUCGCGGGGAAUCAGGACUGUUACUUUGAAAAAAUUAGAGUGUUUAAAGCAGGCUCACGCUUGAAUACAUUAGCAUGGAAUAAUGAAAUAGGACGUUUGACCCUAUUUUGUUGGUUUCUAGGAUCGACGUAAUGAUUAAUAGGGAUAGUUGGGGGCAUUAGUAUUCAAUUGUCAGAGGUGAAAUUCUUGGAUUUAUUGAAGACUAACUACUGCGAAAGCAUUUGCCAAGGAUGUUUUCAUUAAUCAAGAACGAAAGUUAGGGGAUCGAAGACGAUCAGAUACCGUCGUAGUCUUAACCAUAAACUAUGCCGACUAGGAAUCGGAUGAUGUUAAUUUUUUAAUGACUCAUUCGGCGCCUUACGGGAAAC